AACGAACGCUGGCGGCAUGCCUAACACAUGCAAGUCGAACGAGACCUUCGGGUCUAGUGGCGAACGGGUGCGUAACGCGUGGGAACCUGCCCUUAGGUUCGGAAUAACUCCCCGAAAGGGGUGCUAAUACCGGAUAAUGUCUUCGGACCAAAGAUUUAUCGCCUUUGGAUGGGCCCGCGUUGGAUUAGCUAGUUGGUAGGGUAAAAGCCUACCAAGGCGACGAUCCAUAGCUGGUCUGAGAGGAUGAUCAGCCACACUGGGACUGAGACACGGCCCAGACUCCUACGGGAGGCAGCAGUGGGGAAAAUUGGACAAGGGGCGAAAGCCUGAUCCAGCAAUGCCGCGUGAGUGAUGAAGGCCUUAUGGUUGUAAAGCUCUUUUACCCGGGAUGAUAAUGACAGUACCGGGAGAAUAAGCUCCGGCUAACUCCGUG
rnacentral:rRNA from 1 species